UGGGGAAUCUUGCGCAAUGGUCUAACGACUGACGCAGCGACGCCGCGUGUGGGAGGACGCCUUUCGGGGUGUAAACCACUGUUGCCCGGGACGAACAGCCGCUUUCGAGCGGCCUGACGGUACCGGGUGAGGAAGCACCGGCUAACUCCGUGCCAGCAGCCGCGGUAAUACGGAGGGUGCGAGCGUUGUCCGGAAUCAUUGGGCGUAAAGGGCGCGUAGGUGGCUUCUUAAGCGUGCGGUGAAAGCCUGGGGCUCAACCCCGGGUCGGCCGUGCGAACUGGGGGGCUGGAGCACUGUAGAGGCAGGCGGAAUUCCGGGUGUAGCGGUGGAAUGCGUAGAGAUCCGGAAGAACACCGGUGGCGAAGGCGGCCUGCUGGGCAGUUGCUGACACUGAGGCGCGACAGCGUGGGGAGCAAACA
rnacentral:rRNA from 1 species